GAUGAACGCUGGCGGCGUGCCUAAUACAUGCAAGUCGAGCGAAUGGAUUAAGAGCUUGCUCUUAUGAAGUUAGCGGCGGACGGGUGAGUAACACGUGGGUAACCUGCCCAUAAGACUGGGAUAACUCCGGGAAACCGGGGCUAAUACCGGAUAACAUUUUGAACCGCAUGGUUCGAAAUUGGAAGGCGGCUUCGGCUGUCACUUAUGGAUGGACCCGCGUCGCAUUAGCUAGUUGGUGAGGUAACGGCUCACCAAGGCAACGAUGCGUAGCCGACCUGGGAGGGUGGUCGGCCACACUGGGACUGAGACACGGCCCAGACUCCCACGGGAGGCAGCAGUAGGGAAUCUUCCGCAAUGGACGAAAGUCUGACGGAGCAACGCCGCGUGAGUGAUGAAGGCUUUCGGGUCGUAAAACUCUGUUGUUAGGGAAGAACAAGUGCUAGUUGAAUAAGCUGACACCUUGACGGUACCUAACCAGAAAGCCACGGCUAACUACGUGCCAGCCGCCGCCGUAA
rnacentral:rRNA from 1 species